rnacentral:rRNA from 1 species
UUAAAUUGAAGAGUUUGAUCAUGGCUCAGAUUGAACGCUGGCGGCAGGCCUAACACAUGCAAGUCGAACGGUAACAGGAAUCAGCUUGCUGAUUUGCUG